CAUCAAUGGCUUGUGUACUCUGAGCUGACAAUGACCUUAGGAAUAGACGAGUGAGUAGUAUGCUUCCUGGUUAACAAAUACCCAUGCCGAAGGCCAUGGUUUUCUACCCCAGUGUUUGUAGCCUAUAGAGGGUUGCCAGUUGACUUUUACUUUGGCGGCCAUGUUGGAAGACCACCGCAUCAAUUCUUUCGACAACAACUGCUGAGUGGCAGCAAGUUGAUUCAUCACCACAGUCAAUUUCUGUGCAACAAGAUGCAACAAGAUAGGAAAGACAACAGGUUUUUUACAGAUAACACGCAAUCAUGAAACACCAAGGAGAUAAGACUCAAGAACUGACAGAAAACCGAAGAAACCUUUUUGACUGUCCAGACGUGCACUCAGACAGCUGUCAGUACAGGAUCUGCUCCGAUCAUUUCAUCACUGCUGACCUCUAUCAGGACAACCAUGUCGACUGGAUUCCCACUGUGAAGACGAGCAACGCUGCAGCAGCAUCAGUUUCUACUUCCACCGCUUUGUCCCUUUCCCUCAGUUAUACAACGUGGUUGUCAUAUGCUGUGCUUUGGUCAAUGUUUGUCAUAUGCUGUGCUUUGGUCAAUCUGAAUGAUUCUGUUGUGCCAUUUAAGUACGACUUCCGCCAAAGAUGUCACGACUUCCGCCAAAGUCAGUCCCACUCCUUGUUCGGGCGCCGUUCGGCGGUCGACGUCACCGGCCUUCUAACCAUCGCCGAUCCACUUUUCAUUUUCCAUUUGUUUUGUCUUUGUUUCACACACCUGGUUUCAAUUCCCCAAUUACAUGUUCAUUAUUUAUCCCUUUGUUUUCCCCAUGGUUUGUGUGUGUGUUUGUUUUAUGUAUUUCGGUCCUAUUGUGUGGGCUUGGUAUUACUACAUGUAUUAGGUCAUUUUGAAUAAAGUUACUUUUUGUUACUCA